AUUUGUACAGGUCGUAGUGUCAAAUGUCCAUAGACUAACGUUAUCAACACGUUACAUAUUUGUUUCUCUACAUAAUAGACGGGAUACAGCCACCUCCACUGGGCACGCGCACUUCAAAACCGUAUAAUUUGCGUCACUCUAAAAACAGUUGAUUUAUAAUUUGUAUUAUUGUAAGGUUAGGUUUAGGGUUUGGGUAGGCGUAGGGGUUAGCUUAUGUAAUUUAUUGGAAUUCUAUGGCGAGAUGUUGCACCACUUCCGGCCGUAGCUGCAUCCCUUCUAGCUACAACCUAUCUGCGAAGAAGAAGAAGAAGAAGAAGACAGAGCGCAAUGCACGACGUAGAAAUGGCUAAACAACAUUACAGUUCGAACGGCGGGCACUUUUGAGCGAAAGGAUCCACCGAUGCAAACCACAAAACACCGCUGUAGAUGAAAAAUCUGUCAUUUCUCGUGUAACGGAGGCCAGCUGUUAGAGGGAGAGCUGUGUGUGCACGCAGAGGCUGCGAGCUCGUCUCUCCCUCGCCGGACCGAUGGCGGUUUCGAGGCUAGGAGGGGUUACAUUCCCGCAUCCCUGAGAACACCCCCCAGGAAAGAAUGAAUUCGGCGAGAGUCCCGUCUGGUCGUGAGUAGAGUAUCACUACAGGUGAGGCAUCAGAAAGUUUGUCAGUAUUUUAUGAGAUCCAAGCGCCUGUGAGAAGGGCGUUGUGUGUUUUUACUGUCCCAGAGAAACCUGUAGGCUCUUUGUUGCGAAAAGCAGGCGGUUACGUCAUCUCGGGGGGAAUGCGCCCUGCGGUUGUUCAACAGGUCAUGCACUCCAUUACAACAGGUGCCCAGCUGGACAAAAAACCCAACCCAACGCUCGCUUCAGUGAUGGAAAGUAGAUAAGCAGGGAGGUACUUUGCAGGUAUAUACUCGAAAAAAGUACCAUUUAUGUGGGAGACUCUACACUAGAAGAGUGCAUUAGGUUUUGCUGUAUGCUAAGUGUAUAGUGAUGUAAAAGUGUAAUGUAUUGCAGUUCAUUUUAUUAUACCCACGUUACCCCCAGCCUGUCCGUUUACCAUGGGAAUGGAACUCCCGCCGGCCGUGAUGGAGAGGAAACAGGGGUCUCUGUACACACUUUAUCCUGACCGUUCUUCAUCACUCAGACCAGGUGGACAUCUCCAACACUUUGGACGGGUCACUGGAUCACCGCUUCUUUCACCACAUCCACAGCCAGACUGGAUGUCCGUACUGUAUUUAUUUUUCAGGGUGUGUUUGUGUGUGUGUGUGUGCGUGUAUGUGUGUGCGCGUGCGCGCGCACGUGUGUGUGUUUAAUUAAGUUGACCACAGGGUUUUCCUGGGCAGAGCCCGAUGAAGACGUACCAGACGGUAUGUGUAUGGACCCAUAGGGUGUCAGUGGGUCGCCUGCUACCAUGGAGGAAGAGAUUUGCGCAUCGACCCACAAACAGGCACCAGACUGCAGACGGUGAAACUGGCAGGAGAAGACCACCUUGUGUUGUGCAGGUGGAAAGGAUCGCGCUGAUCUGUACGUCACCAUCACGCCGUUUAAAGACAUGGAUGGAGAUUCACUGGCCAUACAGCCUUCGGCUGGCUGCCUAUUUAAGGUCACAGGUGUGGGAGUUCCAUCGUUCUCGUGUACUGGAUAAAAACCAAGAAGACAGCGAUGAUGCUUGUUGAUCCGUUACCAUUUUUUCUGAUGAAACAGCUGUAGUGACUGGAUCAUUGAGAGAAAAACCUCACUCCCUUUUGUCCUGGUUUCUAGAUACCAUCAUCAAAAGACCAUAGCAAGCAUGGCUCCAUGGGUCUGGUUUUGGUCUUUUGAACUCUCACAGUGAGUGUGAUGACCAUUUGGUUCCUCUGUAGGAUAUUUAAGACUCCUUAGCUUCAAAGCAUUGGUGAUAAGUCUCUGUCUCAUCUCUUACUUAACAUCUGAGGCUAAGCAGAAAACUUCUCUGACAAAUAGGAACUUUAUUUGAUUUAUUAAACUAUCCUUUUCUGUAAAUGUAUCUAAAUGUCUAGGUUGUGUGUUGGCGCACAUGCCAUUUUAAGUACUCUGUAACUGUUGAAUAUACAAGUUUUGAUUUAGGGUUGAUUUGAUGUAUUCAUACAUUGGAAUGAUUCACAGUUCAAUGCCUUGCAUGUUUCAUAUGUAACUACAACUCUCUGAAUUCCCUAUAUGAUGAGCUAUGUUCUAAAACCAUAGCAUACCUCAUACUAUGUCCAUGACUAAGUUUAGGUAUUAAAUGCAAACUGACCAUUUUGUCAGAGCCGAGCUCUGCGCUUACGAGCGCGGUUGUGUUUCAUGUAUUUGUUUGUUGUCAUUAUGUGUAGAUUAGAGUUUAAUAAAAACCAUAAAGGCA